GAUCCUGCCGGACCCUACUGCUAUCGGGGUGGGACUAAAACAUGCGAGUCGAACGACUUCUAGCCAUGAUGAAGUCGUGGCGUACGGCUCAGUAACACGUGGCUAACCUACCCUUGAGACGGAGACAUCCCCGGGAAACUGGGGCUAAUCCCCGAUAGAUGAGAACUCCUGGAAUGGGUUUUCGUCCAAAAGGGCAUUAAGGCCAUGCUUCUUGAUGUCGCUCAAGGAUGGGGCCGCGACCGAUCAGGCUGUUGGUGAGGUAAUGGCUCACCAAACCUAUAACCGGUACGGGCCGCGGGAGCGGGAGCCCGGAGAUGGGAACUGAGACAAGGUCCCAGGCCCUACGGGGCGCAGCAGUUGCGAAAACUCCGCAAUGCACGAAAGUGUGACGGGGCUACCCCGAGUGCUGUCCGCUGAGGAUGGCUUUUUCCUGGUUUAAGGAGCCGGGGGAAUAAGGAGAGGGCAAGUCUGGUGUCAGCCGCCGCGGUAAUACCAGCUCUCCGAGUGGUGGGGAUGUUUAUUGGGCUUAAGGCGUCCGUAGCUGGCUUUUCAAGUCUCUCGUUAAAUCCAGCGAUUCAAUCGUUGGACCGCGGGAGAUACUGUUGGGCUGGGGGGCGGGAGAAGCCGACGGUAUUUCCGGUGUAGGGGUAAAAUCCUAUAAUCCCGGGAGGACCACCAGAGGCGUAGGCGGUCGGCUAGCACGCGCUCGACGGUGAGGGACGAAAGCUGGGGGAGCAAACCGGAUUAGAUACCCGGAUAGUCCCAGCUGUAAACGAUGCGGGCUAGGUGUUGGAGCGGCCACGAGCCGCUUCAGUGCCGCAGGGAAACCAUUAAGCCCGCCGCCUGGGGAGUACGGCCGCAAGGCUGAAACUUAAAGGAAUUGGCGGGGGAGCACCACAAGGGGUGUAGCUUGCGGUUUAAUUGGAGUCAACGCCGGG
rnacentral:rRNA from 1 species